rnacentral:pre_miRNA from 1 species
ACAACAACCAGGACCAUCCGUCUAUCAAGCAAUAACACCCGCUCAGUGGAAGUUCUUCCCUGCGUCUU